GAUGAACGCUGGCGGCGCGCCUAACACAUGCAAGUCGAACGAUUAAAGCACCUUCGGGUGUGUAUAAAGUGGCGAACGGCUGAGUAACACGUGGGCAACCUGCCCCUUUCAUUGGGAUAGCCACGGGAAACCGUGGAUAAUACCGAAUACUUCGAGACUUCCGCAUGGAAGACUCGAGAAAGCUCCGGCGGAGAGGGAUGGGCCCGCGGCCUGUUAGCUUGUUGGUGGGGUAACGGCCUACCAAGGCAAUGCUGGGUAGCUGGGUUGAGAGACCGACCAGCCAGAUUGGGACUGAGACACGGCCCAGACUCCUACGGGAGGCAGCAGUGGGGAAUCUUGCACAAUGGGCGAAAGCCUGAUGCAGCGACGCCGCGUGCGGGAUGAAGGCCUUCGGGUUGUAAACCGCUUUCAGCAGGGACGAGGCGAAAGUGACGGUACCUGCAGAAGAAGCCCCGGCUAACUACGUG
rnacentral:rRNA from 1 species